GACGAACGCUGGCGGCGCGCCUAACACAUGCAAGUGGAGCGACGAACCAGGCUUCGGCCUGGGGCAAAGCCGCGAACGGGUGAGUAACACGUGGGUAACCUGCCCUGAUGAUUGGGACAACCCGAGGAAACUCGGGCUAAUACCAAAUGUGCCCUUCGGCCACAAGGCCGCUGGGGAAAGGAAGCUUCGGCCUCCGCAUCUGGAUGGGCCCGCGGCCCAUUAGCUUGUUGGUGAGGUAACGGCUCACCAAGGCGACGAUGGGUAGCUGGUCUGAGAGGACGAUCAGCCACACUGGGACUGAGACACGGCCCAGACUCCUACGGGAGGCAGCAGUGGGGAAUCUUGCGCAAUGCGACGAAAGCGUGACGCAG
rnacentral:rRNA from 1 species